UACGGAGGAUGCAAGCGUUAUCCGGAAUGAUUGGGCGUAAAGCGUCCGCAGGUGGCUAUGUAAGUCUGCUGUUAAAGAGUGAGGCUCAACCUCAUAAGAGCAGUGGAAACUACAUAGCUAGAGUGCGUUCGGGGCAGAGGGAAUUCCUGGUGUAGCGGUGAAAUGCGUAGAUAUCUGGAGGAACACCGGUGGCGAAGGCGGCAUCCUGGACCGACACUGACGCUGAGGAGCGAAAGCCAGGGGAGCGAACGGG
rnacentral:rRNA from 1 species